rnacentral:rRNA from 1 species
AGAUUAUACUGUCUCUUGUAGCUAACCAAUGAAACUGAUCUUGUAGUUCAAAAGCUACAAUAUAACCACCAGACGAGAAGACCCUGUGGAGCUUUAAACCAAAACCAAAUUAAUGGCCCCCUGGUUUUUAGUUGGGGCAACUUCGGAGUACACAACAACCUCCGAUAAAAAAAGUUAAGACAGACAGGUCUAAACAACUUGCUCGACCCAAUACUCUACUUUAGAUUAUUUGACCAAUGAACCAAGUUACCCCAGGGAUAACAGCGCUAUCCCCUUUUAGAGUCCCUAUCGACAAGGGGGCUUACGACCUCGAUGUUGGAUCAGGACACC